CAUCGAGAAGGUGCGCUUCCUGGAGCAGCAGAACGCGGCGCUCGCCGCCGAAGUGAACCGGCUCAAGGGCCGCGAGCCGACGCGAGUGGCCGAGCUCUACGAGGAGGAGCUGCGGGAGCUGCGGCGCCAGGUGGAGGUGCUCACUAACCAGCGCGCGCGCGUCGACGUCGAGCGCGACAACCUGCUCGACGACCUGCAGCGGCUCAAGGCCAAGCUGCAGGAGGAGAUUCAGUUGAAGGAAGAAGCAGAGAACAAUUUGGCUGCCUUCCGAGACGUGGAUGCAGCUACUCUAGCUCGCAUUGACCUGGAGCGCAGAAUUGAAUCUCUCAACGAGGAGAUCGCGUUCCUUAAGAAAGUGCAUGAAGAGGAGAUCCGUGAGUUGCAGGCUCAGCUUCAGGAACAGCAGGUCCAGGUGGAGAUGGACAUGUCUAAGCCAGACCUCACUGCCGCCCUCAGGGACAUCCGGGCUCAGUAUGAGACCAUCGCGGCUAAGAACAUUUCUGAAGCUGAGGAGUGGUACAAGUCGAAGGUGUCAGACCUGACCCAGGCAGCCAACAAGAACAACGACGCCCUGCGCCAGGCCAAGCAGGAGAUGAUGGAAUACCGACACCAGAUCCAGUCCUACACCUGCGAGAUUGACGCCCUGAAGGGCACUAACGAUUCCCUGAUGAGGCAGAUGCGGGAAUUGGAGGACCGAUUUGCCAGUGAGGCCAGUGGCUACCAGGACAACAUUGCGCGCCUGGAGGAGGAAAUCCGGCACCUCAAGGAUGAGAUGGCCCGCCAUCUGCGCGAGUACCAGGACCUGCUCAACGUGAAGAUGGCCCUGGAUGUGGAGAUUGCCACCUACCGGAAGCUGCUGGAGGGAGAGGAGAGCCGGAUCAAUCUCCCCAUCCAGACCUACUCUGCCCUCAACUUCCGAGAAACCAGCCCUGAGCAAAGGGGUUCUGAGGUCCAUACCAAGAAGACGGUGAUGAUCAAGACCAUCGAGACACGGGAUGGGGAGGUCGUCAGUGAGGCCACACAGCAGCAGCAUGAAGUGCUCUAAAGACAGAGACCCUCUGCCACCAGAGACCGUCCUCACCCCUGUCCUCACUGCUCCCUGAAGCCAGCCUUCUUCCAUCCCAGGACACCACACCCAGCCUCAGUCCUCCCCUCACAGCCUCUGACCCCUCCUCACUGGCCAUCCCUCGUGGUCCCCAACAGCGACAUAGCCCAUCCCUGCCUGGUCACAGGGCAUGCCCCGGCCACCUCUGCGGACCCCAGCUGUGAGCCUUGGCUGUUGGCAGUGAGUGAGCCUGGCUCUUGUGCUGGAUGGAGCCCAGGCGGGAGCGGUGGCCCUGUCCCUCCCACCUCUGUGACCUCAGGCACUAGCCUUUGGCUCUGGAGACAGCCCCAGAGCAGGGUGUUGGGAUACUGCAGGGCCAGGACUGAGCCCCGCAGACCUCCCCAGCCCCUAGCCCAGGAGAGAGAAAGCCAGGCAGGUAGCCAGGGGGACUAGCCCCUGUGGAGACUGGGGGGCUUGAAAUUGUCCCCGUGGUCUCUUACUUUCCUUUCCCCAGCCCAGGGUGGACUUAGAAAGCAGGGGCUACAAGAGGGAAUCCCCGAAGGUGCUGGAGGUGGGAGCAGGAGAUUGAGAAGGAGAGAAAGUGGGUGAGAUGCUGGAGAAGAGAGGAGAGGAGAGAGGCAGAGAGCGGUCUCAGGCUGGUGGGAGGGGCGCCCACCUCCCCACGCCCUCCCCUCCCCUGCUGCAGGGGCUCUGGAGAGAAACAAUAAAGAGAUUCACACACAAGCC
rnacentral:lncRNA from 1 species